rnacentral:rRNA from 1 species
UACGUAGGGUGCGAGCGUUAAUCGGAAUUACUGGGCGUAAAGCGUGCGCAGGCGGUGGUGUAAGACCGAUGUGAAAUCCCCGGGCUUAACCUGGGAACUGCAUUGGUGACUGCAUUGCUGGAGUAUGGCAGAGGGGGGUGGAAUUCCACGUGUAGCAGUGAAAUGCGUAGAGAUGUGGAGGAACACCGAUGGCGAAGGCAGCCCCCUGGGCCAAUACUGACGCUCAUGCACGAAAGCGUGGGGAGCAAACAGG